rnacentral:lncRNA from 1 species
GGCGCGGUCGAGGACGAGGUGGACGAAGAGCUGGUGCUCGUGGAGGUCGGCGGCCAGCGUGCGCCGCCCGGACGCGCGCAGGCGGACGGCGCCGUGGCAGGUGGAGGCCGUGAAGGCGAAGGCGACGCCGUCGGGGUGGGUCGUCCGCAUGGGGUCUCCAGCUCCGUCGCCGUCGUCGUCGCCGGGACCUCGAGCGUAGGACGAGAGAGUGGCUGGCUACGCUACGUUUUGAUGGGGAGGGGCUCGCGGCAUCGUCCAGCGAUUAAUUAGUUGGCGAGAUGCGGAAAGGAGUUAUGGUCGGCGUAGGAUUCUGUUUUCUAAAAGGUUUUUGGUUUGGGACCCCGGGCGCGCGCGCGGAUACGCGGCAUUGUUUAUUGACUGACGUGCUGUUCUCACUUGAUUUCCUUGCGCUUUCUGUGAAUCUCUC